rnacentral:rRNA from 1 species
UACAGAGGUCUCAAGCGUUGUUCGGAUUCAUUGGGCGUAAAGGGUGCGUAGGCGGCGCGGUAAGUCGGGUGUGAAAUUUCGAGGCUUAACUUCGAAACUGCAUUCGAUACUGCCGUGCUAGAGGACUGGAGAGGAGACUGGAAUUUACGGUGUAGCGGUGAAAUGCGUAGAUAUCGUAAGGAAGACCAGUGGCGAAGGCGAGUCUCUGGACAGUUACUGACGCUGAGGCACGAAGGCCAGGGGAGCAAACGGG